rfam:Gossypium hirsutum cultivar TM-1 chromosome 17, whole genome shotgun sequence
AAUCCAUGCAUCAGACACUUCUAAACUAAGUCUUUAAAUCGCUCCCAAAGAUUCAUAUAGCAUUUCAUCCUCCAGUUGCAGAAAAGAUGAGAUUUCAUUUCUAAGCUU